rnacentral:lncRNA from 1 species
UGAUUUUCAUUCUCAUAUUUAUAGUAGAAGGGGUGGCGAGAGAUAUUUUGAGUAGUCAGUUGGGGACUCAAAAUUCGAAAUCGAAUUUUGAAUUCGAAUGGAUGUGGUUGGUUGAAAGAUAUUUUGGGAGUUGGUUGGGGAUUUGAAAUUCGAAAUCGAAUUUUGAAUUUGUUGUUGGACGGAUGAGUAUUCAAAAUUCGAAUGGAUGUGGUUGGUUGGAAGAUAUUUUGGGAGUUAGUUGGGGAUUCGAAAUCGAAUUUUGAAUCGGUUGUUGGAUGGAUGAGUAUUCAAAUUCGAAUGGAUGUGGUUGAUUGGGAAUUUGAAAUUUGAAAUCGAAUUUUAAAUAAGUUGUUGGAUGGAUGAGUAUUCAAAAUUCGAAUGGAUGUUGGUUGAGAGAUAUUUUGGGAGUUAGUUGGGGAUUCGAAAUUCGAAAUCGAAUUGUAAAUGGGUUGUGAGAUUGUUGGAAGAUAUUUUUGCAGUUGGUUUGGAAUUCGAAAUUCGAAAUCGAAUUUUGAAUGGGUUGUUAAAUGGUUGGAGGAUAUUUUGGGAAUUGGUUUUGAAUUCGAAAUUCGAAAUCGAAUUUUGAAUGGGUUAUUGGAGGAUAUUUCGGGAAUUGGUUGAGAAUUCGAAAUUCGAAAUUCGAAAUCGAAUUUUGAAUUGGUUAUUAGAUGGUUGGAGGGUAUUUUGAAAAUUAGUUGGGAAUUAGAAAUUCGAAAUCGAAUUUUGAAUGGGUUGUUGGAUGGUUAGGUAUUCAAAAUUCGAAUGAGAGAUAUUUUGGAUGUUGGUUCGAAAUUCGAAGUCGAAUUUCAAAUAGGAUUAUUAGGAUAACAUAUAUUUUCUAGUUGGUUGGGGGUUUAAAAAUUUAAAAUCAAAUUUGAAUAUGAUAUUCGAAAUUGAAUUUUCAAACGUGGGUGAAAAUGUGGGCCGUGAUCCCAUGAAUUGGGCUGAAAUUGGGCCCACUUUGAUGAAACUUGUUGGGCACGAAUAUUCAUUGGCUGAGAUGUGGCCUGAAUUUUUGUAUAGGCCUAAAAUUUUAAAGGGCUUUCAUGAGGCCCAUUAAUUCAUAUUUAUGAAUAUGAAUGGGUCUAUUAUAGAUUUUUCUGAUCAACAUGAAACCUAUUGGAAUUACAUGAAUCUGAAUCUAAUCGAAUUUUUUUU